rnacentral:rRNA from 1 species
AUUGAACGCUGGCGGCAGGCCUAACACAUGCAAGUCGAGCGGCAGCGGGACCUUCGGGUUGCCGGCGAGCGGCGGACGGGUGAGUAAUGCCUAGGAAUCUGCCUGUUAGUGGGGGAUAACGCGGGGAAACUCGCGCUAAUACCGCAUACGUCCUACGGGAGAAAGCGGGAGCUCUUCGGACCUCGCGCUAACAGAUGAGCCUAGGUCGGAUUAGCUAGUUGGUGGGGUAAUGGCUCACCAAGGCGACGAUCCGUAACUGGUCUGAGAGGAUGAUCAGUCACACUGGAACUGAGACACGGUCCAGACUCCUACGGGAGGCAGCAGUGGGGAAUAUUGGACAAUGGGCGAAAGCCUGAUCCAGCCAUGCCGCGUGUGUGAAGAAGGUCUUCGGAUUGUAAAGCACUUUAGGUCGGGAGGAAGGGCUGUAGGUUAAUACCCUGCGGUUUUGACGUUACCGACAGAAUAAGCACCGGCUAACUUCGUGCCAGCCGCCGCCGUAA